GUGCAAGCUUUAGCAGUACAUAUACUAAAACUGGAACUAUACAGAGAAGGUUAGCAUGGCCCCUGUGCAAGGAUGAUAUGCAAAUUCAUGAAGCAUUCUAUAUUUAA